GUACAUAUGAUAGAAUAGAACAUGACAGUAAAGUUUAAUGACGGUGGCUAUCCAUUGAAAGUGAGGUGGUGCGUAUGCGCGUACUUCCGAAAACUUAUGAAAGGAAACGCCUUUUGUCUGCAUACGAGACAAUUCAGACGAUCAUAGGCUUUGGUAUGUUUACCAUUGCGUUGAUCAGUCUGGU
rnacentral:sRNA from 1 species